GAUGAACGCUGGCGGCGUGCUUAACACAUGCAAGUCGAACGGAAAGGCCCAAGCUUGCUUGGGUACUCGAGUGGCGAACGGGUGAGUAACACGUGGGUGAUCUGCCCUGCACUUCGGGAUAAGCCUGGGAAACUGGGUCUAAUACUGGAUAGGACCACUUCUUGGAUGUUGUGGUGGAAAGUUUUUUCGGUGUGGGGUGAGCUCGCGGCGUAUCGGCUUGUUGGUGGGGUAAUGGCCUACCAAGGCGUCGACGGGUAGCCGGCCUGAGAGGGUGUACGGCGACAUUGGGACUGAGAGGCGGCAGAGACACCUACGGGAGGCAGCAGGGGGGAAUAUUGAACGAUGGGCGCAAGCCUGAUGCAGCGACGCCGCGUGGGGGAUGACGGCCUUAGGGUUGUAAACUCCUUUCGCUAGGGACGAAGCGUUUUGUGACGGUACCUGGAGAAGAAGCACCGGCUAACUACGUG
rnacentral:rRNA from 1 species